rnacentral:rRNA from 1 species
GAUGAACGCUGGCGGCGUGCCUAAUACAUGCAAGUCGAGCGAACAGAUGAGGAGCUUGCUCCUCUGACGUUAGCGGCGGACGGGUGAGUAACACGUGGAUAACCUACCUAUAAGACUGGAUAACUUCGGGAAACCGGAGCUAAUACCGGAUAAUAUAUUGAACCGCAUGGUUCAAUAGUGAAAGACGGUUUUGCUGUCACUUAUAGAUGGAUCCGCGCCGCAUUAGCUAGUUGGUAAGGUAACGGCUUACCAAGGCAACGAUGCGUAGCCGACCUGAGAGGGUGAUCGGCCACACUGGAACUGAGACACGGUCCAGACUCCUACGGGAGGCAGCAGUAGGGAAUCUUCCGCAAUGGGCGAAAGCCUGACGGAGCAACGCCGCGUGAGUGAUGAAGGUCUUCGGAUCGUAAAACUCUGUUAUUAGGGAAGAACAAAUGUGUAAGUAACUAUGCACGUCUUGACGGUACCUAAUCAGAAAGCCACGACUAACUACGUG